CCCGAUUAAAGGCAAAGCCAUUGAAAAAUGGCGGCGCAAAGCUAUAGGGGCUAAGGCGAACAAACGCUAUGCCAGCCAGCUGCCGGG
rnacentral:ncRNA from 2 species